GAAGUCCGAAAGAAGUUUGGAGUAGAGUCGUCUGUGGCUGGAAGAAGUCUGGAAGGGAUUCGGAGAAUAGUCGAUGAUCGUAGAAAAUCGACUGAUAGCGAAGCCCAGAGAGCAUUUGGAGCAGUCUGAUAGAUGAAUGGAGAAGCUCAUUGUUGGAGAAGUUCGGAUGGUAUUAUAGAAGCUCGGACGGUCGAGGGAGUUCAGAAAGAUGCCACACA
rnacentral:lncRNA from 1 species